rnacentral:rRNA from 1 species
UUAAAAAGCUCGUAGUUGAAUUUCGGGGUUAGUAGGUUGGUCAUGCCUCUGGUAUGUACUGGUCUCACUGAUUCCUCCUUCCUGAUGAACCGUAAUGCCAUUAAUUUGGUGUUGCGGGGAAUUUGGACUGUUACUUUGAAAAAAUUAGAGUGUUUAAAGCAAGCUAACGCUUGAAUACAUUAGCAUGGAAUAAUGAAAUAGGACGUUCGACCCUAUUUUGUUGGUUUCUAGGAUUGACGUAAUGAUUAAUAGGGAUAGUUGGGGG